AACGAACGCUGGCGGCAUGCCUAACACAUGCAAGUCGAACGAGACCUUCGGGUCUAGUGGCGCACGGGUGCGUAACGCGUGGGAACCUGCCCUUAGGUUCGGACUAACUCCCCGAAAGGGGUGCUAAUACCGGAUAAUGUCUUCGGACCAAAGAUUUAUCGCCUUUGGAUGGGCCCGCGUUGGAUUAGCUAGUUGGUAGGGUAAAAGCCUACCAAGGCGACGAUCCAUAGCUGGUCUGAGAGGAUGAUCAGCCACACUGGGACUGAGACCCGGCCCAGACUCCUACGGGAGGCAGCAGUGGGGAAUAUUGGACAAUGGGCGAAAGCCUGAUCCGGCAAUGCCGCGUGAGUGAUGAAGGCCGUAGGGUUGUAAAGCUCUUUUACCCGGGAUGAUAAUGACAGUACCGGGAGAAUAAGCUCCGGCUAACUCCGUG
rnacentral:rRNA from 1 species